rnacentral:tRNA from 1 species
GCCGGUGUAGUUCAAUGGUAGAACUCCUGCUUCCCAAGCAGGUGGCGCGGGUUCGAUUCCCGUCACCGGCUCCA